AAAAAAAUAAAUCAGAAAAGAAAGAAAGCAAGAAGAGCUCCCCGUAUACUCUAUUUUGGAUAAAAGAGUUUUAUUGAGAGCAAUUAUUAUUUUUUAUAGCCCGAUUGUGUUCUUUCUCUUCCUCUUCCCCUCUCUCUCUCUCGCUCUCUGUCGAACAAGCAGAAUCUCUCAAAUAUUUUUUUGGCCCGAUUGAGAUUGAAUUCAGAGUCGAAUCAAUCGGAGGAGAUUGAAUCGAUUGGAAUCAGAGGAGAUUGAACCUAUUUCUCAUGGUUAAAUGGACUAAACUAUGGAUACACAAGACCGUAAACAGUUCUGAGUUUCAUCUCUCAGUAUUUCGUCCGUAAUAGAUGGAGAAUAUGGUACACUUUCUCGCUGAAUUGGGGAUGAUGCAUUACGACACCUUGAUGUUCUGUCCCUCCAUGCUUGCUGCUUCAGCUGUUUACACAGCAAGAUGCUCACUGAACAAGUCCCCAGCUUGAAAUGAUACAUUGCACUUCCACACCGGCUACAUAGAAUUUGAGAUUAUUCUCUCUUGAGCGCUACUUCUGAUUUGAAGAAGCCUGCUUCUUCUUAUCGGGUUUAGACAAAGGUUAACGCAGACGGGAGCAAAUGUUUGGGACUGCGGAAGAUGUGUCAGAAGAAGGAUUAAGCUUGAUGGUUAGCUGGAAACUGGUGAUGCUGAUGAAUGGAGAUGUUCUGCAGCUAGAGUAUAUGCCUUGUGGUCAGUACAAACAAGCCAGAGUUUACAUGUAAUCUAUGAUCCUUGACUAUGUUUCAAGAGUUCUUGGUUUUAAAAAAUUUGGCACAAAUCUAUAUUACAAUUAAUCAUUUUCUCCAUUUAUGAAUUCUAUUUUUAUUGUAAUAUGUUUUAUGUUUUGUAUGUUUGAAAAUUAAUUAAAUGCAAUAUUUUCUAUU